ACCUCACCCUGGGGACUAACGGGCCCCUCGAGGACUGCACUCCUGCUGCUCCCCAUGCCCAGGAGGCAGCCCCACCUUCUUCUCCAGGCACUAAAAGCCCCACUGAGUGGAAGAAGUUACCUACUAGAUGAGCAUGAACGUCACCCCAGAGCGUCCAGUUGUCAGGGAGUGUUUAGCAGGAAGAUUCCUACACGCUGUUUCUCACAGGUCCUCUGUUUCUUUUCAAGCAGAGCGGCAUGCUGUUCCCAGGAACCAGGGUCAUCGUGUGAGACAGGCCUGAGUCUCCUUCAGUAAACAUUCUCUUUACGACAAAACUGCUUAGUCUCAAUUCCCUUUCCUGAGAUAUGGAUGUUCUUCUGACCUUGUGGCAAUUUUUAAUCCCUUGUUCCCUUGGUUACGGUUGUUAUACACUUGGUUUUCUGAUCUUUAUCAUAGUCAUAAGAAACUUCUUGUACCACAGCUUAUAUAUACUCACAGAAAAUUCAUUAAAGCACCUCUGCUCCAUCAGAGCUUGGGUCCCCGUGUCUUUCUUUCUCUCUUUCUUUCUCUCAUUCUCUUUCUCUCUCUCUCUUAGGCUGAUUCCUUGGAGUGCAGAGACCCGUCUUGCUCACUCUGCUGCCCGGGCUUCUAAGACUCUCUCGAGAAGGCGCCAGGUGCCUUCAUGAGACAUGCAAGUCCUCUAUCAAGGACUUUAUUGGUUUUCUGCAUAAACCAGAGAGUAUCAGCUUCUUUCUCUCUUUCACUUUCUUAUCAUCGCCUCCGGACCACCAGGUCCCGGUCCAUUAAAGGACCCCAACAUCCAGUGCCUGAGGAUUUGUGAGGUUAGCCGCCUGUUCCCUCACCAACCAGAGAACCGUGCACCAGCGGAUCACAAACUCUGUGACCCCCUCCCUCAGGCGGCCUGUAAGCUGCUUUGCUGAAGCCCCUCAGGGAGUCCGGGGUUUGGAGCACGAGUUAGCUGUCCUCCAUGUAGCGGUGCUUUUGUAAGCAUCACUUCCCGUUCCUUCACCACAACCUGGCGUUGUAGAUUGGCUUUAUUGCACUCAGGCGUGUGGGCCCAGGUUUGGUUCAGUAACACAGGGCCUCCCAGGCUCCCGCUUCCUUGUGGCCCGGUGACUGUCAGCUCCUCCACCAGAGCCCACAGCCAGUCCCACUCUAGUUCCCCUCUGCACCUAAGCCCGUUGUCACUGGUCACAUGAUGGUAGUGAUGAUGACAUCCAGCAGAGCCAGCUUGGCAAGGCAGACACUUCUGGACUUGACACCGGGCCCCUUUCCACAGACAGGAUGGAGUGACUGCUUUCACGGGCCCCGUGGUGGAAGAGCUCACUUUCUGAUGAAGCCAGACCUUGAUCCUCUCCAGGGGACAAAAGAAGAGGGACAGACACAGAGGACAAGCCGCAUGAAGAUGAAGGCAGAGACGGGCGGGAGGGGCCGCAAGCCCAGGAACCCCUGGAGCCCCUGAAGCUGGAAAAGGCAGGAAGGACCCUAUCCUGGAGCCUCUGGAGGGACCUCAGCCUUGCGCCACCUUGAUCUCAGGUAAAACACCCGAAUAUGAGCAAAGACCUCACAGGCUGGAGGGAAGGGCUUGGGGCCGCCCCAGCAACAGCACACUUGCCAUGGUCCUGGCUGGGGCUCUUCUGGAAGCUUUCCGUCCCCUCCCUGAGUCGCCUCUCCAGUCCUGCUCCACUGCCUUUUCUCU
ensembl:lncRNA